rnacentral:rRNA from 1 species
UCGAGAAUCCUUCGCAAUGGGCGAAAGCCUGACGAUGCGACGCCGUGUGAGCGAUGAAGGCCUUCGGGUUGUAAAGCUCUUUCGCCUGGGAAAAAGAGAGGCUGGCUAAUAUCCAGCUCAUUUGAUGGUACCAGGUAAAGAAGCACCGGCUAACUCCGUGCCAGCAGCUGCGGUAAUACGGAGGGUGCAAGCAUUAAUCGGAGUUAUUGGGCGUAAAGGACGCGUAGGCUGUAAGGCAAGUCAGGUGUGAAAUCCCGGGGCUCAACCCCGGAACUGCGCUUGAAACUGCCUUUCUAGAGGGUAGGCGGAGAAAACGGAAUUCCACAAGUAGCGGUGAAAUGCGUAGAUAUGUGGAAGAACACCUGUGGCGAAAGCGGUUUUCUAGCUUAUUCCUGACGCUGAGGCGUGAAAGCAAGGGGAGCAAACAG